GAUCCCGGCUCAGGAUGAACGCUAGCUACAGGCUUAACACAUGCAAGUCGAGGGGCAGCAUGGUCUUAGCUUGCUUUUGAUGGGCGUCGACCGGCGCACGGGUGAGUAACGCGUAUCCAACCUGCCCAUCACUUGGGAAUAACCUUGCGAAAGUAAGACUAAUGCCCAAUGAUAUCCCACGAAGGCAUCCGAAUGGGAUUAAAGAUUUAUCGGUGAUGGAUGGGGAUGCGU
rnacentral:rRNA from 1 species